rnacentral:rRNA from 1 species
GAGACAGCAGUAGCCGCGGGAAUACAGAGGGUGCGAGCGUUAAUCGGAUUUACUGGGCGUAAAGCGUGCGUAGGCGGCUUCUUAAGUCGGAUGUGAAAUCCCUGAGCUUAACUUAGGAAUUGCAUUCGAUACUGGGAAGCUAGAGUAUGGGAGAGGAUGGUAGAAUUCCAGGUGUAGCGGUGAAAUGCGUAGAGAUCUGGAGGAAUACCGAUGGCGAAGGCAGCCAUCUGGCCUAAUACUGACGCUGAGGUACGAAAGCAUGGGGAGCAAACAGGAUUAGAUACCCGAGUAGUCCCUGUCUCUUAUAC